AAGAAUGGUCUGCCUGGCUCCCUGAAUGCCAUCUAGGAAGCUUGUCAAAGAGUGUUGGCAACCUCUCUAACUGGCAUGAGGGGAGUCACGCAGGCCCAAC
rnacentral:pre_miRNA from 1 species